GUCGCUAGGUUUGUUGAAGGACAUCGGCCGCCGAGUUUGGGGUUCGGACGAAGGUGGGUGAGAAAGCGCUCUUGGCUGCUCGGUCCGGUGAUUGAGCUUUGUAGGGCCGACUAGAGUCUGGCCGUUUUUCCAGCCCCGGAACAGCGCGAGGUUUUCUUUUUGCGGGGAGACGCUGGGGAAUGGGAAAGGCGCUGGAGAAAAUGAGGGUCAGGGCCCCAUGGCGGAUCUAGGAAGCCUCAGCACCGCGAGUGACGAGCGCCCCAGGGCUCGCACGGUUAGCGGAGAGCCUUAUGCCCCACUUCCCAGUGUGGAUUGGGAGUGAGGCCGGUCGAGAGGGGAGCUCCCCAAGGUCAUCCAUCCAGUGGAUGUUGAGAGAGGACUCUGGAUUUUGACCCCAUCUCUGGCAGAGUUCGUGUGUCUUGGCCUCUAUGGCCAUAGCGAUUUGUUUCCUCCGAGCUGCGAUCGGGAAACCAGGUCUCCUUUACCUGCGCCGUGGCCUUUGUCAAAACCAGAGUAAACGUGGAAUGGCCCUGCGGUUCUCCAGGCCUGGGCUCUAAAAACGGAUUAGAUUUUGUAUCCCAGCGGUUCUGAACCUGUGGAUCAUGAUCGCUUUGACAAGCCUCUAUCUCCAAAAAUAUUUAUUUACAUUACGAGACUCCUAGCCGUAGCAAAAUUACAGCUGUGAAGGAGCAACGGAAUAAUUUUAUUGGGGGAGGGGGAAGAGAGGUUUCACCACAACAGAAGGAAGGUCGCAGCAUUAGGAAGGUUGAGAGUCACUGCCGUGUUUGAUCAGUGCAAGGGUUUCCACAGAGGCUGUUUGCUGCUUGUGGUCCUUUGACUUUCAUCUUCCUUAUACCUGGUGAUGGCACUACUCCAGAUAGGUGCCCAUAAGACGGGAAUAGCUGUAUCCAGGAGCCUGUUACAAAGCAAGGGCAGCUGCUCACCCCAAGACUUUAAUGAAAUGCCCAUUUCACAUGGAAAGGCUGGUGGUAUUUAAUAGUAGUUAUUGGAUUAUUUAGAAACAGAAGCAAAACCUGUCAGCUUAGACUUUGUAGCAGGCUGCUGUUCAACAGUAGUACAUUUUUUUAAAAAAUACUAACUCACAGGCUCACAAUUAUUAGUCUUUGGUGAUUUUUUUCCACUACCAAAUGGCUCUAAGCUUGCACAUGACUGCAAGGACAGGACAUUUUAGUUUUAUUUGUUCCUAUUGCCAGGUGUGAAUGGCUUGUCCCUCUAGUCCCAACACUGUUGGGCAGAUCUCUGUAAUUUCAAGGCCAGCCUAAUCUAUGUAGUGAGUACAGGCAUCUGGGGCUACAGACUGAGAUAAAUAAAAUAAAAUAAAAAUUCCAUACAGGGCAUUGUUAACAAUAUUAACUGUUAAAAAAGGUCAUUGUCCUAAAACAAUAUGCAGUUUGUUGGAAGGUGCUUUAAGCCUUAAUAUCACCUUUGCUUGCCAUGUGGUGGUGCCACACACAUUUACUCCCAGAACGCAAGGCCAGCUUAGGUCUACAGAGUGAAUUAAUCCUGUCUCUCCAUGACAGUGACGGCAAAGACAUCACCAUCGACACCACUUAGAUGGAAAUCUAAGCUUCCUUUAAAACCCCAGUUCCCGUACCUUCCCUUUGUUCUGCAGUCAGAAUGAGUUGUCUUUGGAAUACAUCAUCCUUCUUGCAGUAUUCUAUAGAAUGAAAUUUAAGCAUCUCAAUAUUAACCAAUUAUGACCAAAUCUCCUCCUAACGGUGAAAGGUAUCAAUCACUUAAAGAGUUGAGAAGGUUGAUGAGCUGGCAACGACAAGGAGUCUUAGUUUUCCGGAGGGUUUCUCAUGAGAACCUACUUCAUAACUUUAAAGAAUGUAUCAUGAAGUAAAUGGAGAAGAAUGCUUUGGGAGUGUAGUGAAGGGGAGCUGGAACUAUGAAGGGUUUGGUUGUUAAUAGUGAUUUUCCUGCUUUGGCUAGAUUGGCCAAGAUCUGUGAAAGAGACCCAGGGAAAUUUAGAUUUUCUUCAUUGUUCCAGUAACCAUUAUGAAAGUAUUCAAAAUUAAGGUCUCAAAUUUUGUUGCAUGAAUGCAUCUGAAACCUUUGAAUAGUUAAUAGAAGGGUGUGCUGGCUUCCAUAGCAACAAUACCCUUAUGUUUUCUCCUACUCCCAUUUAGAAGCUAACCAGUCUGCCAAUCUUGCCUGGACCUUGACCAGCUAGUUCAAGUUGCUCCUGGAAUCUGUGGCUCAGCUGUGGUAGAUAGGCCAUCAUACUUAGAAAACUGAAUGGUUUUGAAUCUGCUGUGACUUGCUGAGUGUUAGCAAGUACGAUGUCACUACUGCAGCUUUCAUUCCACUCCACCCCACUCCUUAUGGCUCCCUACUCCCAGCCAAAUCGUCAGGAUUCGUUCUACUUUUGUGACUUAACACAGGCAUACAUAGAUGCAUGUACAUUUAAACCUGGGCUCUGUUUACCAGGAAACUCUGGUUAUUUGUUCUGAGUCUGGCUUAUGUCAUUAACGUAAUGAUUUUCUGUUGCAUCUGUUCCCCUGCUUGCUGACAAUUCAUUUUCCUUCUGACUGAAUAAGGUCCCACUGUAAAUGUGUACCACACAUUCUUUAUCUACUCUGCUGAGAGGCAUCUAGACACGGUCAGUAUUUUAGCCACUGUGAAUAGGGGAGCAGUAAACAUGGACGUGCAGAUAGCCUUGUGGUCAGUGGCUUAGUCUUUCAAGUAAACCCCAAGUGGAAUAACUGGGUUGUAUGGCAGUUCUGUUUUUAAUUUUCUGAGACUCCUCCACACAGACUUCCAUAGUGGCUGCCCCAGUUCCCACUCCUAGCAGCAGUAAUGAUUUCACUUUUCCCUACAUCUCCCCAGGAUGUUGUCGCUUCCUUUUAAAGCAGUUUCUUACAUAGAAGGAAUAAAGCCAGGUAGUGGCACUCACCUUUAAUCCCAGGACUUAGACAGAGGCAGUCGGAUCGCUGCAGUUCCAGGACAGCCUGGUCUACAGAGUAAGUUCCAGAACCCAGAGAAACCCUGUCUCAAAAAA
rnacentral:lncRNA from 1 species